AGCCUUCGUUUAUACGCUUACCUAGCAACAUCUCAUCUAUGAAGCUCUGAGCUCUCUGGAGCCUUGGAAGGUGAGAGGAAGUUUCUCUUGCUUUUGCAGUUCUCCACAGCCUAGUCAGCUGGAAGCAGGGCCAUGUGUAGCCAGGCUGGAGACUGAACCUAAGAACAAAGCAGGACAAGAAGCAGUCUGCAAGCAGGAGUUUCCCACUGUGCUAACGUGUUUACUUUGUGGUACUGUAAUUUUCUAGCAGAUGAGCUGAUCCAAUUAAGCCAUUGCUAUUAAAUUAAAAAGCCAUGAUGAUCUGACUGCAUUUGGGAGGCAUAACAGCUAUGAUAUUUGACAUAUGGGGAUAUACACACCUUGGAAAUACAGUGCUUUAUGAUAAGUAGCAGUUAACAGUCAGGAUGCUCUCAUUGUGGGCAGAAGAAAGGCAACACCAAAAACAUCUCAGAUGUACUCAGAGCCGUGACACAAUCUUAAUGUCUUAUAAUGCACUGUGCAACUAUUACUUUGAGAUAAAAAAUGGUUCUAUAUUUCAUUUGUUAUUGAGCUCUUUGCUUUGACAAUGAAGUUCAGCCAUUGAGUGAUUCUACAAAGCUGCUGCACUUCUACAGCCAUCAAACAGAAGGUCAGUGAGAUGAAGACGUCACACUGUCUUUUUCACACUGGCAGAGGUCAAAACAGGACUUCAGGUGCGCUUCAUUUUUAAGAUUGGCUUUAAUUUUAAGUGUUCAGCUUCCCUUAUUCACAACAUGGGAGUUGUUUUAUAUCAGAACUCCUUAAAUCUCUAAUGCAGACACCAGCUGCCAUGUGAGGUACAGGCCAAAAAUUACAAUAAGAACUUAGUUAAUGGAUAAUUAAGAAUGGCACACAUAUUACAGAAAGUUCAAAUUUUCUUGUAAAAUUUUCUCAGUUUCUUUUCUUCUUUCCUCUUCCUUCUCAUCCUAAUGAUAAACUGCUUUGUGAUAAUCUGCUUCUGUUUUAUCACUCUCAGUGAGCAGUUAUGUGUUCUUUUCCUUUUGAUAUGUGGAGUUUUUAACCCUGCUUAGCCAAGCAACAGAGAAAUGUAUUUUGAACCUGAGUGCUUUCUCAUGUUUGCUUAUAAACCCAUUUUAUUUUACUUUAUCUAUUAUUUUUAAUAUCACCUUCUCAAUGUCUCUACACUUUAAUUGGUUCAAUAAAAGAGACUUUAUGGAUGCCAUAGAACAAGAAAGGUCACUUCUAAUAUACAUGAAGAGUACUACAAGUCUAAAUAAUAAAUGUUUUUACCCAUUUUUCCAGUUAGGAUCAAAGAAACCCUCCUUUCAGUUUCUUUCUACUUUCAACGGCAGUUUCAUAUUAUUUCUGCCUUCUAUCUAUUUUAUCAAAUGAUCAUUACAGCUGUCACAGGUGGUACUGCACUAAUCACGAUUAUUCAAAUGAGAGGAAAAAUAUUUUUGGUCUAAUAAGAAAACAAACAAACAAACAAAAGUAAAUAAUAUGAGAAGCAAUCCUGAUUCCCUUCCCAAAGAAAGCUUUACCUGCACUGCAUAAGCAAUGAGGCAGGUCAUUGUGUGCUUUCUUUAAUAUUUUUCUGAGGGAGGAUUUUCUGCCCAAAUGCUUAUUUCAUUUGAUAAAUAAAGUAGUGAAAAUUGGUUCUUGCUUUAAAAGGGAAGCUAUUUCUCUGAGACUGUUGCUCUCCUCUUGCUGGAGAGGGGCUCAGUAGACAUGAGGGUCAAUUAAUGGUAGAGGUAGAAGAGAAGCAGAAAUGCUGGUGAUUUACCUUGCCUUUUACUCAGGACCUUGCAGAAGAAGUUCCUCAAUGUUUUGAACUUGCCAUCUGAACCAUCUGAAGACACAGAUUGGUACACACAGAGGUACCUAAAAAAACCCACGUGAUUUUACAUACAAGCAUGAAAACAUAGGAAACAGCACCAAGAGAAACUGCUGAGGACCAUGGAUGGGAUGCUGCAGCACAACAUCACAGUGGGGAUCUCAUCCUGCAUUUCUUUCUGGCCAACUCUCUUUCAUCAGUGUGAAGUGGAAGUGAAGACAGCCAAAGUCUUGGGUCUCAUCUUGCUGCUCUCAGAUCCUUGGCCAAUGGCACUCUGGAUAGUUCCAUCUACAGCAAAUCUUACGGUGCAACACCCGCAGUUCAUGCACUGGUGUAGAACUUCCCAGUAUCUUUGAACCUCUGGGUGAGGCCAGUGGCAUCUGAAUGAGAAAUGGAAGCCUCAGAAUGACAUGGGUAUGGAAGACUCAGUUUGCAGAGUUAAGGUCACACAGUGUGUGAUUUCUCUUUUCCAAAUUCCUUAAUGUCAAUGUAUGAUAAAAUACACUUUUAGUUAAUAACCAUAGUUCAUAAAAAUUAACAUGAGACUCCUGCCACCCAUACUGGAAGCAGACUGAACAGGAAUCACAGCAUCCACCAAAUUCUGUUUGUUCAAUAAAACCAACGGCAAAAAAGAGCAAGGGAGGAGUAUGUUGACAAAAUGUGCAGUACACUAUAAAGUAUUUGACACUUCCUCAGACAUGCCAAAGGCAACUGGGCUCUGGAGUAUUUGGAAAGAAGGAGAAUGAAGUACUUUACUGUGUUAAUGCUAGGAGUUAUUGUAUUGUAUUGUAUUGUAUUCCACUACUGACUAAGGAAGAUGGUGGUAUCUAUUAAAGAUCUUUUUUUUUUUAAUGGCAAAACUUUUCCAAAAUCUCCAAAAGACCAUGGAAACCCCGGGGAAAAAACAGAUGGCUGGAAAAAAAACUAAAUUAAUGAUGAUAUUUACAAAUCAAGGAUAACAUAGAGGACACAGAAAAUGGUUAAUAUGCCAUCAGUAUAAGGCGAAACUGAAGAAUCUGGAUAACUAUUAUCCAUGAAAAGGAAUAAAAGAUACACAAUGAAAUGUAUAAAUGCAAAACAAUAUGGGCUUAUGGCAAAGUGAAACAAACCUAAUAUUAAAAAAUAAAUAAAUUUUUUGGUUGAUCAAGAUAGAUGGAAAGAUUUCUUUAAAACAUUUAGCUUCAUUCUGCAUUUAACCCUUAUUUAUAAAACUGUUUCUUAAAAUACCAUUGUUGAAUAUGUAAAAUGGGCUUAAGCACUGGCUAAAUAAUAGUCUCAAUGAAUAAAUGUGCAAUACUAAAUAACAAA